CAAGACUUCUUAGAGCUGGAACAAGGACUAAGUUUGUUUGGGGGGGUCAUUACUGCAGUAGCUGGAGAGUCUGGGAGUCGGGCAGCCAGCGCAGCCAAGCCGGAUGAUACCAAAAAGGAAGUUGAGGGGGUCCAUGCUGAGCUUGUCAUUCCAGAACUUGAUUCGGUAAGAACUGAGGCAUUUACUACUCUGGCUAGUUGGAGGGAGCCACCACCUGGAAUCUGCAGCAUACAAGGGGAAAAAUAUAGUACUUUCCUUUUCCUAAAUUCUCCAACCAAAAGGAGACAGAAGCCGAUACACGUGUGGAACUAAAGCUAAGACUUUCCAUUAUCUUAUCGUCAUCUAUACGCUGCAACUUUCUAUUUCACUUUGAAGAAGUGUCCAUUAGCAUGGCAGAAUUGCACCACAAAAUGUUGCCUGGGUAUCUUUUUAGAGCAACAAGGGAAAAUAAAUCAUAUACAAGUUUGCUUGCUGCAGACACAUUAAAUAAAUAAUAUAGAAACAAUAUUGUUUCAAUUUUGCUCAAUACACUCAGAUGAUGUAGGGUUGAUCCUCCAUUGAGAAAGCUGAACUCUGUUCCCAUUGCAAUGGAUAUAAGACUGGCCAUUUAGUUUUAAAAGGCUAUAACCCACAUAAGCUUGUUUUUGCUUAAUAUUUAUGUCUUGAUGUUUUAUUGGUUAUGUAUAGAGUGUUUUUCUAUUUCAGAUUUUUAUGUUAAGUGUGAUUGAUUGUAAGUCGCCUUGAAGGGGUGGGGUUUUUUUAUGGACCAAAAGGCAGGAUAUUAAUGUAAUAACUUUUUAAAAAAUUAAUUAGUAUGUUAGGAAGUGGCAAAUUAAAAUAAGGAAUACUUUAGUAUGCUUUAUGGACAAGGUUAUAUUUUAGCAAGAUACAUUUUGAGUUUUUAUUGUUGCAAAAUGGCGGCAUAAAAACCACAUGCAUAUCUAUGUAUCUGAGUCUUCUGCGUAUGUCUCUUAUAUGUAUCUGUAUACAACUGCAAAUAUGGACUUAAUAUUUAUACCAAAACUAGCUGUGAAAUGAUGUUAUAAAAAUCCUAGACAACAAAGUUAUUGGUAAAGCAUUAUGGGGCUGUGAUAAUACUGUUGUUAUUAUUAACUUGUAAUACUGUUUUUACAUUAGUGGAUGUCUGUACACUGCAUACAGAUGUAAUGUAAAAUCUCUAUGUUAGAAAGCCCUUGGAAAGGGUCCUAUUGAUGCUUCCUAUAGGAUAAUGAUUUUAAAGGUAACAUGACAUGAAAAGCUUCAUAUAGGACCAAUUAAAAAAGAACUGACUGUGUGGAACCCUAUUAAUUGGUCCAGAUAUGUGUACAGAAGCCUCAAAAAUAAAAGUUCCUUUCCAUUUAUUUGCUCAGUUAAGCUCCCUGAAAUGCUCUUUAUAAAUUAAUUUUGCAGAUUACCUCAUCUUUUUAUUUAUUUUUAAGAGCCCCUUUUGAAAGAUUAGAAAUAACGACAAAAUCAUUGCUUACUGAAGCAAGCAGACUUUGAAUCCAGCUAUGCACAUUAGAAAGAUGUUACACACUGCAUACUUUUAAUAAUGAUCAUUUAGAAGAUAAUUUUAGCAUCCACACAAGAGAAAAAUGGAUUUUUGAUGAGUUCUUAUAUGACCAUAUGUGGUAUUAGUCAGUGUGAGGUAUUGCUAGCAAGCUCAUUGCUUUCAAAAAUCAAAGUUAAAUGGUUCAUCUAUCAUCAGAAUUUGUGUCUGGGCGACUUGUCUGAACAUCAGUAUGAUUUAUGGUUUGAAUUGGAGGAGUCAACCAUGCAUGUUUCUUAGUUUAUCGUUUUAUGCUGUCUUCAAUUAAAUGUCUAUAAACACAGUGAUGGCUUUAUGACACUGUCCAUCAAUAAAGACUAUCAGAUUUUGCAUAGAAUAUGUAAUUUUCAGGAAA